rnacentral:rRNA from 1 species
UCAAUAAGCGGAGGAAAAGAAACUAACAAGGAUUCCCCUAGUAACUGCGAGUGAAGCGGGAAAAGCUCAAAUUUAAAAUCUGGCGGUCUUUGGCCGUCCGAGUUGUAAUCUAGAGAAGUGUUACCCGCGCUGGACCGUGUACAAGUCUCCUGGAAUGGAGCGUCAUAGAGGGUGAGAAUCCCGUCUCUGACACGGACUCCCAGGGCUUUGUGGUAUGCUCUCAAAGAGUCGAGUUGUUUGGGAAUGCAGCUCUAAAUGGGUGGUAAAUUCCAUCUAAAGCUAAAUAUUGGCGAGAGACCGAUAGCGAACAAGUACCGUGAGGGAAAGAUGAAAAGAACUUUGGAAAGAGAGUUAAACAGUACGUGAAAUUGCUGAAAGGGAAACGCUUGAAGUCAGUCGCGUUGACCAGGGAUCAGCCUCGCAUUUGCGUGGUGCACUUUCUGGUUGACGGGUCAGCAUCAAUUUUGGCCACUGGAAAAAGUCCUGAGGAAUGUGGCAGCUCCGGCUGUGUUAUAGCCUCUGGUCGCAUACAGUGGUUGGGAUUGAGGAACUCAGCACGCCGCAAGGCCGGGUUUCGACCACGUCCGUGCUUAGGAUGCUGGCAUAAUGGCUUUAAGCGACCCGUCUUGAAACACGGACCAAGGAGUCUAACAUGCCUGCGAGUGUUUGGGUGGAAAACCCGAGCGCGCAAUGAAAGUGAAAGUUGAGAUCCCUGUCGUGGGGAGCAUCGACGCCCGGACCAGAACUUUUGGGACGGAUCCGCGGUAGAGCAUGUAUGUUGGGACCCGAAAGAUGGUGAACUAUGCCUGAAUAGGGUGAAGCCAGAGGAAACUCUGGUGGAGGCUCGUAGCGAUUCUGACGUGCAAAUCGAUCGUCAAAUUUGGGUAUAGGGGCGAAAGACUAAUCGAACCAUCUAGUAGCUGGUUCUGC